rnacentral:rRNA from 1 species
UACGUAGGUGGCAAGCGUUGUCCGGAUUUAUUGGGUUUAAAGGGUGCGUAGGCGGCCUUAUAAGUCAGUGCUGAAAUAUCCCCGGCUUAACUGGGAGGGUGGCAUUGAUACUGCGGGGCUAGAGUACAGAUGAGGUAGGCGGAAUUGACGGUGUAGCGGUGAAAUGCUUAGAUAUCGUCAAGAACACCUAUAGCGAAGGCAGCUUACUAGGCUGUAACUGACGCUGAGGCACGAAAGUGUGGGGAUCAAACAGG